rnacentral:lncRNA from 12 species
AUGAAGUCCUUAUUUCCGUUUUCUUCCUUCGGGGAUGGGACUGUCUCCUUGCCAGCGAUCUUUGGCAGUUGCACACUCUUCUCCAGGUGCUUGCCUCACGGUUGGGGCUCCGGAGGUGGCAAUGAGCUGUCAUGUUUAUUGUCCCCUCUCGCUCGGUCUGGACUCUGCAGCCAGGCCCGCGACCAAGCUGCACUUGCUCGCACUUGCCCGUGGCCCCUGUGGGUGUUUCCCAGACGGUGGUACUUGCCCUCGGUGCUCCUCUCCUGCCACAAUCCCAGAGAGCUCCGGGCAGGUGAGCAGAGACAGCCGCCCGCGCGCCCUGGGGCGGGGCGGGGGCGGGGGGGGGGGGAAGGUUUCCGUUUUCGGGGAGGGCCCGCGAGCCGCCUGGACGCCCCAUCCUGCGUCCUGUGGCCCCAGGGAGGCCGCGGACGGAGACCCGGGGGUGCCCUCCUCCGGAUGAGGACCGGCCCCUUUCUGGGCGCGGGGGGCAGGCCGG